rnacentral:tRNA from 1 species
GCACUGAUAGCUCAGCAUCCAGAGCGCCGGCCUUGUAAGCCAGAGGUCGGGGGUUGAACUCCCCCUCAUUGCU